UUCCUGGGUGGCUCUUGCAGUGUGCUUCUGACCUAUCAACUAGAUGGCAGCGUAACGGACAUGCUAUGGUGACAACGGGUACAGAGGAUAAGGGUUCGAUCCUGGAGAGUGGGCCUGAGAGAUUGCUCACACUUCUAAGGAAGGCAGCAGGCGCGCAACGUU
rnacentral:rRNA from 1 species